rnacentral:rRNA from 1 species
GACGAACGCUGGCGGCGUGCUUAACACAUGCAAGUCGAGCGAGAAAGCGGCUUCGGCCGUGAGUACAGCGGCGAACGGGUGAGUAACACGUGGGCAACCUGCCCCAGAGAUUGGGAUAACGUCCCGAAAGGGACGCUAAUACCGAAUAACGCGUGACCUGCCAAGUGGGUCACGCCAAAUGGUAGCCUCGGCCUCUGCUCUGGGAUGGGCCCGCGCCGGAUUAGCUUGUUGGUGAGGUAACGGCUCACCAAGGCGACGAUCCGUAGCUGGUCUGAGAGGACGAUCAGCCACACUGGGACUGAGACACGGCCCAGACUCCUACGGGAGGCAGCAGUGGGGAAUCUUGCGCAAUGGGCGAAAGCCUGACGCAGCAACGCCGCGUGAGCGAAGACGGCCUUCGGGUUGUAAAGCUCUGUCAGGAGGGACGAAGCCACUCGGGUGCAUAGCCCAGAGGGUGACGGUACCUCCAGAGGAAGCCCCGGCUAACUACGUGCCAGCCGCCGCGGUAAGAC